rnacentral:lncRNA from 1 species
AUGUGUGCCACGCAGAGGCGUAGUCACGCGCUUGAGCUCUGGCCAGAUCGCCUGGGUCCCGAUUCUGGAUUUGCCACCGUGUCUUGGGUCAAUUCCUUCACCUCUCUGUGCCUCAGUUUCCCUGCGGGGAAAGGCACGGAACCCACACAGAGGGUUGUGGAGAGCAGCACCCGGCACGCGCCGGCCAUCGUUCGGUUCGCAUCCGUGCGCUCAUCCACCCACACGGUCGUGCCGGGAGCGCGCAGGGCUGUGGCCCUGGCGGUGACCACAGCCUCCACCGGAGGUGUUCGUGCAACCUGGGCUCUCCCGCACUGCCGGCCCUCGGGUGUGUUUCGUGAGUCGCGGCCACACUGGCCGGAAUCCUCUGGAUCCCCGAUGGACUUGAAGGCCACAGAGAGCCGGGGGGCGGCCACCUCCGGAAGCCGAGGAUUCCCUCCGCGAGCGUCCCCGGUCACCCCGCCCCGGCCCAGGAAGACUGUCCCUCGGGCGCCCAGAAGAGCCUGGCAGCGCCUUCCAUCUGCAGGCUGCUGGCGACACCUGGCGGCGGCGGGGAGCAUCGCCGCCACCUUCCCUCCCGGGAACCCACGCCGAGACCCUGGGCUCCGUCGGGCUCCGCUGGGAGACAUCAGCGGGGAGCAGCAGACGCAUUCAGCCGUCGAGUGGGCAGCAGAAGGGCUUCCCGGAGCAGCGCCGAUCUGCGCUUGCCCUGGAGAGGCGGCAGCCAAGGCUCAGCUUGGAGGAGGAGGAGGAGGAGUGCGGGACCCCGAAGCUGGGGCAGGCGUGGGGAGGGGGGCGUGGAAGUUCCGAAGGAAGCCUUGGCUACUUUCCUCCCUCCGCGCCAUUUGUGGUUAUCCUUUGUUCCCUUGGGGUGCCCCAGGGGCGGGGAAGAGGGAGAGAGGGUCUGGGCGGGGGGCAGUCCAGGCGGCUCCCGGUAGGCGUCAGCUGCAAACCCCUGUUCACCCUUGCAUCAGCCACACCCACUUCAUGCAAACCCAGCCCCGCCUUGGAACCCCAGGGUGUGCCGCUCACUCCUGA